UUACGGCCAUAUCACGUUGAACCACCGGUUCUUGUAUGAUCGUCGAAGUUGAGCAAUUUCGAGCCUGAUCAGUGCUUAAAUGGGUGACUGCUUGGAAAUAUCAGGUGAUGUG